rnacentral:lncRNA from 1 species
AUGCCGACUAUGUUUGGGUCUCUGGAAUACCUCACAGAUGCUCAAAACCAGCAGCCUCAUGCAUUCCUCUCAAUGACUACCCCUCUAUCUGCCAAGGAACUUUCUGUCAAUGCCUCCAAUCCCCAGGUGAAUAAUGUGCUAUCCUAUUGCCUGCCUUCUGCCCUGGAGCUGCUUUGCAUUUGAUUUAGAAAUGGAAUAGUACCUGCCCUCAAUUUGGUGUUAAGCUCGAUCUCCAGAGUUCCAGAGCAGCAGAGGUUGGACGCUGAGUGUGUUGUGGAAAACCCCCUUCAUCUUUUACUUAUUGCCGUCUUUGUGAGAAUCAGACCUUGUACCAGGGACCAGAAUCCCUACUGACUUCCUUAUCUUUUUCCUGGCGUCCACACUAAUAAGAGAUUUUACCCAUAGGUCUUCUUACCCCAUACUUAUCAACCGAAACCCAUAGGCCAGGUGAUACUGUCAGUUCAACAGAGCAAGCUGAUGGUGCUGAGCUUACACCAAGAUGUGCAAAUGCCUUAAAUCCAU